AACCGGGUCACACGCACAAAAUGCUGGAGAAACUCGGCAGGUCAGGCAGCAGCAAGGGUGGGGAUUAAUCAAUUGAUGUCUUGGGCUGAGAGCCUUCAUCGGGACUUCAGAGGAAGGGAGCAGAAAGGAAACCGGAUUCUGAACUUGUGGAACCAAGUCAAUUGGGUAUUCAUUUAAGGAUCUUUGCUUGAGACUAUUAACUUGAAAGCUCUGAUGAAGGAUCUCAGCCGAAACAUCAGCUUUUUACUUCCCUCCAAAGACAACGCUGACCUGCUGAGUUCGUCCAGCAACUUGCAGCCCAGGGAAUUGGAUGCCAGAUCGUAUGAUUCAGAUUUAGAUUUCACAGUCUCCGCAUGCUGAUCUAAGACGAGACCACCCUGAACCGUGGAUGCCACAGUGGGACAGACAGAAUAGCAAAAUGCACCAGUAACCACAAAUGAGAUUUGCAGCUUUCAUUCUGUGAAGCAACAAGAAUGCUUGGCUGCCCUUGGAAUAAAUGACAUGCACAAUGGGAAAGGAAGAUGUGGUGAUAUCACAUAUCACGUGUAAGAACGUGAUUGGACAGAGUUUGGAGCAAGCGCAAAAAUGACAGAAUGAUCGAGAAACUUGUACAGUGAAAAUGUGGUUGCUGUUUGCUGUUGUAAAUAAAAGUUCUAGUUCUAUUCUUCCAGAAUAUGUUUUGUUAUUAGAAACCCACAGUAUGUAUAAAGAACACAACACACGUGAGAUGUCAUCAUGUGCGUUGUUUGUUUUACAGACCUCACAGCA